AUUCCUACGGGAGGCAGCAGUGGGGAAUUUUCCGCAAUGGGCGAAAGCCUGACGGAGCAACGCCGCGUGAGGGAUGAAGGCCUCUGGGCUGUAAACCUCUUUUAUCAAGGAAGAAGAUCUGACGGUACUUGAUGAAUAAGCCACGGCUAAUUCCGUGCCAGCAGCCGCGGUAAUACGGGAGUGGCAAGCGUUAUCCGGAAUUAUUGGGCGUAAAGCGUCCGCAGGCGGCCCUUCAAGUCUGCUGUUAAAAAGUGGAGCUUAACUCCAUCAUGGCAGUGGAAACUGUUGGGCUUGAGUGUGGUAGGGGCAGAGGGAAUUCCCGGUGUAGCGGUGAAAUGCGUAGAUAUCGGGAAGAACACCAGUGGCGAAGGCGCUCUGCUGGGCCAUCACUGACGCUCAUGAACGAAAGCCAGGGGAGCGAAAGGGAUUAGAUACCCCUGUAGUCCUGGCCGUAAACGAUGAACACUAGGUGUCGGGGGAAUCGACCCCCUCGGUGUCGUAGCCAACGCGUUAAGUGUUCCGCCUGGGGAGUACGCACGCAAGUGUGAAACUCAAAGGAAUUGACGGAAACUUAAAGGAAUUGACGGAAU
rnacentral:rRNA from 1 species